rnacentral:rRNA from 1 species
GACGAACGCUGGCGGCAUGCCUAAUACAUGCAAGUCGAGCGAACAGAUGAAGUGCUUGCACUUCUGACGUUAGCGGCGAACGGGUGAGUAACACGUAAGGAACCUACCUAUAAGCGGGGGAUAACAUUCGGAAACGGGUGCUAAUACCGCAUAAUAUCUUCUUCCGCAUGGACGAAGAUUGAAAGACGGCUCUGCUGUCACUUAUAGAUGACCUUGCGGUGCAUUAGUUAGUUGGUGGGGUAACGGCCUACCAAGACGAUGAUGCAUAGCCGACCUGAGAGGGUGAUCGGCCACAUUGGGACUGAGACACGGCCCAAACUCCUACGGGAGGCAGCAGUAGGGAAUCUUCCGCAAUGGGCGAAAGCCUGACGGAGCAAUACCGCGUGAGUGAAGAAGGCCUUCGGGUCGUAAAACUCUGUUAUAAGAGAAGAACAAAUUGUAGAGUAACUGCUACAGUCUUGACGGUAUCUUAUCAGAAAGCCACGGCUAACUACGUGCCAGCCGCCGCGGUAA